rnacentral:rRNA from 1 species
UACGUAGGGUGCAAGCGUUAAUCGGAAUUACUGGGCGUAAAGCGUGCGCAGGCGGUGAUGUAAGACAGAUGUGAAAUCCCCGGGCUCAACUUGGGAACUGCAUUUGUGACUGCAUCGCUGGAGUGCGGCAGAGGGGGAUGGAAUUCCGCGUGUAGCAGUGAAAUGCGUAGAUAUGCGGAGGAACACCGAUGGCGAAGGCAAUCCCCUGGGCCUGCACUGACGCUGAGGCGCGAAAGCGUGGGGAGCAAACAGG